AAGUGCGAAUGCUGACAUAAGUAACGAUAAAACGGGUGAAAAACCCGUUCGCCGGAAGACCAAGGGUUCCUGUCCAACGUUAAUCGGGGCAGGGUGAGUCGGCUCCUAAGGCGAGGCUGAAAAGCGUAGUCGAUGGGAAACAGGUUAAUAUUCCUGUACUUGGUAAAGCUGCGAUGUGGGGACGGAGUAGGUUAGGUUAUCGCACUGUUGGAUAUGUGCGUUUAAGUUGGUAGGUGGGAAGUUUAGGCAAAUCCGGACUUACUUAACACAGAGAGAUGAUGACGAGGCUCUACGGAGCUGAAGUAA
rnacentral:rRNA from 1 species